rnacentral:rRNA from 1 species
AUUGAACGCUGGCGGAAUGCUUUACACAUGCAAGUCGAACGGUAGAGGGGGCAACCCCUCGAGAGUGGCGAACGGGUGAGUAAUAUAUCGGAACGUGCCCAGUCGUGGGGGAUAACGUAGCGAAAGUUACGCUAAUACCGCAUACGAUCCAAGGAUGAAAGCGGGGGAUCGCAAGACCUCCCGCGCUUUGAGCGGCCGAUAUCAGAGUAGGUAGUUGGUGGGGUAAAGGCUCACCAAGACAACGAUCUGUAGCUGGUCUGAGAGGACGACCAGCCACACUGGAACUGAGACACGGUCCAGACUCCUACGGGAGGCAGCAGUGGGGAAUUUUGGACAAUGGACGCAAGUCUGAUCCAGCCAUUCCGCGUGCAGGAUGAAGGCCCUCGGGUUGUAAACUGCUUUUGUACGGAACGAAAAGGUCUCUCUUAAUACGGGGGACUCAUGACGGUACCGUAAGAAUAAGCACCGGCUAACUACGUGCCAGCCGCCGCCGUAAUAC